CCAAUAGCGUAUAUUAAAGUUGUUGCAGUUAAAAAGCUCGUAGUUGAAUUUCGGGAUUAGUACGCUGGUCGUGCCUUCGGUAUGUACUGGUGUUACUGGUUCCUACCUUCUGACGAACCGUCAUGUCAUUAAUUUGGUGUGGCGGGAAAUCAGGACUGUUACUUUGAAAAAAUUAGAGUGUUUAAAGCAGGCUCGCGCUUGAAUACAUUAGCAUGGAAUAAUGAAAUAGGACGUUCGAUCCUAUUUUGUUGGUUUCUAGGAUUGACGUAAUGAUUAAUAGGGAUAGUUGGGGGCAUUAGUAUUAAAUUGUCAGAGGUGAAAUUCUUGGAUUUAUUGAAGACUAACUACUGCGAAAGCAUUUGCCAAGGAUGUUUUCAUUAAUCAAGAACGAAAGUUAGGGGAUCGAAGACGAUCAGAUACCGUCGUAGUCUUAACCAUAAACUAUGCCGACUAGGGAUCGGAUGAUGUUAUUUUUAAUGACUCAUUCGGCGCCUUACG
rnacentral:misc_RNA from 1 species